UUGACCUCGGAUCAGGUAGGGAUACCCGCUGAACUAAGCAAUCAUAG
rnacentral:rRNA from 1 species